rnacentral:rRNA from 1 species
UAGUGACCGAUAGUGAACCAGUACCGUGAGGGAAAGGUGAAAAGCACCCCGGGAGGGGAGUGAAAUAGAACCUGAAACCGUGUGCUUACAAGUAGUCAGAGCCCGUUAAUGGGUGAUGGCGUGCCUUUUGUAGAAUGAACCGGCGAGUUACGUUAUGAUGCGAGGUUAAGUUGAAGAGACGGAGCCGUAGGGAAACCGAGUCUGAAUAGGGCGAAUUAGUAUCAUGACGUAGACCCGAAACCAUGUGACCUACCCAUGAGCAGGUUGAAGGUGAGGUAAAACUCACUGGAGGACCGAACCAGGGCACGUUAAAAAGUGCUUGGAUGACUUGUGGGUAGCGGAGAAAUUCCAAACGAACUUGGAGAUAGCUGGUUCUCUCCGAAAUAGCUUUAGGGCUAGCGUCGAUGUUAAGUCUCUUGGAGGUAGAGCACUGUUUGGGUGAGGGGUCCAUCCCGGAUUACCAAUCUCAGAUAAACUCCGAAUGCCAAUGAGAUAUAAUCGGCAGUCAGACUGCGAGUGCUAAGAUCCGUAGUCGAAAGGGAAACAGCCCAGACCACCAGCUAAGGUCCCAAAAUAAUUGUUAAGUGGAAAAGGAUGUGGGGUUGCACAGACAACUAGGAUGUUAGCUUAGAAGCAGCUAUUCAUUCAAAGAGUGCGUAAUAGCUCACUAGUCGAGUGACCCUGCGCCGAAAAUGUACCGGGGCUAAAACAUAUUACCGAAGCUGUGGAUACCUUUAUAGGUAUGGUAGGAGAGCGUUCUAUGUGCGAAGAAGGUGUACCGUGAGGAGUGCUGGAACGCAUAGAAGUGAGAAUGCCGGUAUGAGUAGCGAAAGACAGGUGAGAAUCCUGUCCACCGUAAGACUAAGGUUUCCAGGGGAAGGCUCGUCCGCCCUGGGUUAGUCGGGACCUAAGGAGAGACCGAAAGGUGUAUCCGAUGGACAACAGGUUGAUAUUCCUGUACUAGAGUAUGUAGUGAUGGAGGGACGCAGUA